AUGGCUGUCGUCAGCUCGUGUCGUGAGAUGUUGGGUUAAGUCCCGCAACGAGCGCAACCCCCGUCGUAUGUUGCCAGCAUUUAGUUGGGGACUCAUGCGAGACUGCCGGUGACAAACCGGAGGAAGGUGGGGAUGACGUCAAGUCAUCAUGCCCCUUAUGUCCAGGGCUACACACGUGCUACAUUGGCGCAUACAGAGGGCUGCGAUACCGCGAGGUGGAGCGAAUCCCUUAAAGUGCGUCUCGGUUCGGAUUGCAGGCUGAAACUCGCCUGCAUGAAGGCGGAGUUGCUAGUAAUCGCGGAUCAGCAUUGCCGCGGUGAAUACGUUCCCGGGCCUUGUACACACCGCCCGUCACACCACGGGAGUGAGCAACACCCGAAGCCGGUGGUCUAACCCGCAAGGGAGGAAGCCGUCGAAGGUGGGGCUCGUGACUGGGGUGAAGUCGUAACAAGGUAGCCGUAGCGGAAGCUGCGGCUGGAUCACCUCCUUUCUAGGGAGCACUACGGUGCCCCGAUCGCAACGGCCGUCAGGUCCGUGGCCCCUCGAGGGUUUAGAGAUCCUGUCGGUGUCUGUGCGAUCGGGCCUAGCAUGUCGACCGAACCUGGCUGGAUGGACGCGCAGAGUGAGGACUCCUGACUACUUGGAGGACGAGCGAAGCCAGUCCGCAACGAUGCCAGCAUGCUGUUGAGUUUUGAGAGACCGGCGUCCGCCGGUGGUGGGGCAGACGCGCAAUGAGCGCGCCCGCAUGAACCCAUCGUCGGCCGGCGUAUACGCCUCUCGACGGUCCUUGAAAACUGCACAGAAGCCACAUCAGCCGCCAUCGAUAAGCGGCGGCUGAAUAACGGGUAUCACCGGACCGAUGGAGCCCACAUCCCCGCAAAGGGAUGUGAUCAAAAUCGGUCAGAUCACCGUCAAAAUAGUAAGGGCGCAUGGUGGAUGCCUUGGCACCAAGAGUCGAUGAAGGGCGUGAACGGCUGCGAUAAGCCACGGUUAGGCGCUGAAUAGCCUAUGAUCCGUGGAUUCCCGAAUGGGGAAACCCGG
rnacentral:sRNA from 1 species